AUAGUCUUAAAUUAGAGAGGCAAAGGUUUAAAAAUAAUAUCAGGAAGUAUUACUUUACUGAGAGGGUAGUGGAUGUCACUGAAGAACUCUCCUUAAGACUGAAUGUAAUCCGGUAAAAGUCUGGUCUGAUUUAUUAUAAUAAAAAGCCAUUGGAGACGAUUCUUCAGAAGAGCUUCUGUGAGAAAUGCCAUUCUGGGACCUUAUUGGGUGAAGACAGGCAUGGGCUGCGUGGGAGAAAUUUUGAAUAAAAUCAAGUUUUUAAUGCGAUCGUAGGGGACUUGGUCAUUAAAGAGCCACUCCAGGAUUAAAGUGAUUCUAU